rnacentral:lncRNA from 1 species
UCCCUUGGUCUGGGACUAUUGAUGGCCAAGAAGGCCAGGAACGAUGUUACCUACGUCUCAAAUCUAGAAUGCCUGAAGAUUCAAAAGAAAUUUAGUGUUACAAACAGAAAUAUUCCUGGCAGCAAUCCUGCUUCAAACUUACUGGCAUUAAAAACACCAGGCUGCAGUGGAACAGUAGCAGAGGUAACAUUUCGUUGUUCAGCUGGAGAUUAGAGCAGGGUGAAAGGAGCUUUGAAACCAAACAGUCCAGGACCUCUUGCCAAGCUGCAUAGAUAGCCCUAGGCGCAUCCCUACUUUCUCUGGGCCUGCUUUCUCAUCUGGAAAAACGAGAUAAAAAUAACUACCCUGAACGUCUGCUGUGAAAAGUGAACCAUCACCAGAAGAUGCGUCAAGAACAGCACUGCACACACUGGGUGUUUCGUAUCAUUUACUGCAAUUUGUAGGAGGGACUACACAAGCUUCACCAGCAGGCUCUCACAUACCAGGAGAAGCAAAAAAAGCUGAAGGAUUAAGGACCCCAAAAGAUAUGCCUUGAGGAUGCAAGCUUAUUCUAAUAGAGAGGACUUUGCUCACUAGAGAGAGAUGAGGUGGCAACAUGAAGUGAAAAUUAGGCAGCAUCCCAGAAGAAAAGAAAGCUCUCCUCUCCAUUCACCCCAGCAUGUCUGCUUGCUCGGGCCCAGGGCUUUUCCCUCCUACAGCGGCUGCACCGGGGCCUCCUUCUACCCACCUAGCCCACCCACCCACAGUUCCAUCCUCCAGAUCAUAUAUCUUGGAAUAACACAACUACACAGAAUUGCUCAUCCACCCACCCUCUUAUACUGACCAUUACAUGUGGCUCCUGAGCACCUGACCUGUGGCUAGUCCAAACCAGGAUGGAUGUGUAAACUACACCUAUCAGUACACCAAAGAUUUAGUUCAGAAAAAAAAAGAAGUAAAAUAUCUCAUUGACAAUUUUUGCAUUGAUUACCUAUUGAAAGAAUAAUACUUUGGAUUAGGUUAAAUAAAACAGAUUAAAAUUAAUUUCACCUGUUUCUUUUAACUUUUUAAAUGUGGGGAUGCCUGAGUGGCUCAGCGGUUGAGCAUCUGCCUUUGGCUCAGGGCGUGAUCCCGGGGUCCUGGGAUCGAGUCCCACAUCGGGCUCCCCACAGGGAGCCUGCUUCUCCCUCUGCCUGUGUCUCUGCCUCUCUCUCUCUGUGUCUCUCGUGAAUAAAUAAACAAAAUCUCUAAAAAAUAAUAAUAAAUAACUUUUUAAGUGUGGCUCCUAGAAAAUUUAAAAUGACAUUUGUGGCUUGGACCAUAUUACUGUUGACCUGGGCUGUUCAGGGCAAAUCCC